rnacentral:rRNA from 1 species
UGGUUAAAAAGCUCGUAGUUGGAUCUCGGCGGACUGAGGGCGGUUUGCUUGCUAGUAUUACUGCCCUAUAGUCCGUAGUUUUGCCAGAGGUUUCGGGGUGCUCUUAAUCGAGUGUCCCGGGAUGCUGGCAGGUUUACUUUGAAAAAAUUAGAGUGCUCAAAGCAGGCUAUUACGCCUGAAUAUUCGUGCAUGGAAUAAUAGAAUAGGAAGUCGUUUCUAUUUUGUUGGUUUUCGGAAAUCGACUUAAUGAUUAAUAGGGACAGUCGGGGGCAUUUGUAUUCAAACGACAGAGGUGAAAUUCUUGGACCGUUUGAAGACAAACCACUGCGAAAGCAUUUGCCAAGAAUGUUUUCAUUAAUCAAGAACGAAAGUUAAAGGUUCGAAGGCGAUUAGAUACCGCCCUAGUUUUAACCAUAAACGAUGCCAGCUAGCGAUCUGCGGACGUUUUUUUUGUAGACUCCGCAGGAAGCUUCCGGGAAACCAAAGCAUUUGGGUUCCAGGGGAAGUAUGGUUGCAAAGCUGAAACUUAAAGGAAUUGACGGAAGGGCACCACCAGGAGUGGAGCCUGUGGCUUAAAUUGACUCAACACGGGAAAUCUCACCAGGCCCGGACACUGGAAGGAUUGACA